UGAGAUUAUUUUUGAAAGAAGUGAGUUAAAGAUUGUGUAGUUGUAGUAGCAAGGAGCUCCUUUCAGGCCAAGACCGAGGGGCGAGGAGCGGCAAGAGCUGCCUAGUCAUGCAUAUUGGUUAAGCUUAACAAACCAAUGUAGUUAGUUUUAAGAAUAACCAUUUGCAUGGCAAGGGAGCAACUACUUCCGCUUAACUUGUCCCGCUUAUUGGACUGAAGGGAGCUCCUCCUUAAAUCAUAUAUAUAUAUAUAUGUCAUUUUUACACAUUAUGAAAUUAGUAAGCAAGAAUGUUAUGCUCUACUUAGGAAGCGUUUCGAUUGACCUCUUCAAUAUGCAUGGUUCUCCACUUCUACUUCUAAAUCCAUUAUAUAUAAAGACAUGGAGGUUGAAAAAAGGAGCCCAUAUUUAGUUGUGAAUCAGCCCAUAAAAGUAUUUAUCUUUAUUUGAUUGGUCAUGUGAGACAAGUUUGGGCCUAGUCAGCUUCCUGAGUUCAGAUUUUUUGUUGUGAUGGAUGCACACUGUUAUGAACAAGGCCACGGUUGGGGACUUUGGCAAAUUACGUUUGGAACCUUGGGUAGAAUGUCUAUAUAAAAUAGAGAAAAAUAAUGUAUUAGGCUAGCUUAUGCUAAGACCUUAUGUUGCUUUUACUGAAAACUCACUUUUCGAUUUUCCUUUUUGGUUAUAUGUUGAUGAACGAUUUGCCUGUAAGUUCCAUCUCAUCAUUGAUCAAUCAAAAGCUUUAGUUUGUUACACAUAUACAUAAAUGUACAUGAAAAUCCCAACUCAAAUGGGCAACAUACAUGUUAAGAGCUCAACGAAUGUGACGAUAUAUAAUUAUCCACUUGCAGCUAAGCUAGUGUCGUUGAACCUACACAUUUGACAUGGGUCAAUUUAUGAUGAACCAAAUAGCAAUAUAUAAAUUUAAUUAGACCAAAUGAGAAAUAAGUCAACAUUUAAAUAGAUUUAAUAAGCAAUGAUCUAGCAAGCUAGGAACAAUAAUCAUCAUGUACCUACUAUUACAAUUUGCAUUGGACAAAAACCACUUAACUAACCAACUAAUCCAAAAUGGGUUUCAUAAGAAGGGAGAACCAAUUACCUUAACAUUUGGCAUUGAGUAUUAGCCUAACUAUAGUAUAUAGGGGAAAAAAGAGCUUAGAUAAUGCCAAACAAUUGUUAAUUGUGUGUGAUAUAAAGGUGAAUAGACCAGAAACUUGGAGGGAAAAAAAAAAAUAGGUUGCUCAAAAUAUUUUGUAAGGUAGUACUAAACUAGUACCAAGAAAAUGAAAGCUAGCUUAUUGGUAACAGAACACCUAACACAUUAUUCUAAAUGAAAUCUAGCAACUAACAUUAUUCUAAGUUGCAAAGAAUUAGAGAAACAGUCAAACAAUGAAUAUGGACAGAAGUUAACCUCUCAAUGGUCUAUAUUUCAACUACAUAAAUCACAAUUGGGUGCAUAGUUUAUUCAAACUUAUAUUUACUUGAAUACAAUAUUCAAAAAUAAAUUCCAAAAGUUAAUGUAUAUUUCUUAAUAUUUUGCUCUGACUCAAAGACAAAUAAAACUACAGUGUACGCCAUAUGGAUUGUGAUGGGUCGAAUUGAAAAUGAAAAAAAAAACAAAAAUAUCCAACAGGAUCAAUAGAUAGUUAGAGACAACGAAAGGGUAGUUAAAACUUGGUUUGUAUAUUCAUCUCUCUAUAUCUACUACUUAAGUAACAUUCACAUUCCACAUCAGCUCUUUCCCUUAAAAAGAGAAUUAAAAGAAAAUGAAAUAUAAUAAACCUAAAUACGAAUAAACAAACUCAAA